UCAAGCGUUUAAGGGCGUGUAGUGGAUGCCUUGGCACUGAAAGCCGAUGAAGGACGUGAUAUACUGCGAUAAGUUUCGGGGAGCUGUAUGUAAGCUUUGAUCCGAAAAUUUCCGAAUGGGGAAACCCACCACUUUAUGUGGUACUUUAAACUGAAUACAUAGGUUUAAAGAGACAACCUGGAGAACUGAAACAUCUAAGUAACCAGAGGAAAAGAAAUCAAUUGAGAUUCCGUUAGUAGUGGCGAGCGAACGCGGAGUAGGCCAGUAGUUUUGUUAGAAAAAUUUGAAUAGUUUGGAAAUGCUAACCAUAGAGGGUGAUAGUCCCGUAUGAGUAAUGUCUAACAAAAUUCUUGAGUAAAGCGGGACACGAGAAAUCCUGCUCGAAUAUAGGGGGACCACCCUCUAAGCCUAAAUACUCUUCAGUGACCGAUAGUGAACUAGUACCGUGAGGGAAAGGUGAAAAGAACCCCUAUUAGGGGAGUGAAAUAGAACCUGAAACUGCAUGCCUACAAUCAGUCCGAGCCCUUUUUAGGGUGAGGGCGUACCUUUUGUAUAAUGGGUCAGUGACUUAAUUUAUUAAGCAAGCUUAAGCCAUCUAGGUGUAGGCGCAGCGAAAGCAAGUCUUAAUAGGGCGAUUAGUUUAAUGAAUUAGACCCGAAAACGAAUGAGCUUACCAUGAGCAGGUUGAAAGUUGGGUAACACCAACCGGAGGACCGAACCAGUUGACGUUGAAAAGUCUUUGGAUGACUUGUGGUAAGGGGUGAAAGGCCAACCAAAUUCGUAGAUAGCUGGUUUUCCGCGAAAACUAUUUAGGUAGUGCGUCGAAUAAAUAGAUGUUUAGAGGUAGAGCACUAAAUGGGCUAGGGGGAAGAGAUUCUUACCAAACCUAAUAAAACUCCGAAUGCUAGACAUUGUUCUUCGGCAGACAGACUGUGGGUGCUAAGGUCCAUGGUCGAGAGGGAAAGAGCCCAGACCACCAGAUAAGGUCCCAAAAUCAUGAUUAAGUGUGAAAGGAUGUGGAAAUUCCUUAACAGCCGGGAGGUUGGCUUAGAAGCAGCCAUCCUUUAAAGAUAGCGUAACAGCUCACCGGUCUAAUAGAGUUUCUGCGCCGAAGAUGUAACGGGGCUAAAAUCAUGUACCGAAUCUGUGGCUUUGCAAAGUUUUCGAACUUUGUAAGGGGUAGCGGAACGUUCUGUAAGCCUGCGAAGGGAUACCCGUGAGGGAUCCUGGAGGUAUCAGAAGUGCGAAUGCUGACAUAAGUAACGAUAAACGAAGUGAAAAACUUCGUCGCCGAAAAUCUAAGGGUUUCUAUGCAAGGUUAAUCCGCGUAGAGUUAGUCGGCACCUAAGGCGAGGGCGAAAGCCGUAGUCGAUGGAAACAAGGUUAAUAUUCCUUGACCUGAUGGUAGUGACGGAUUUCGUAAGUUGUGAGUUCUUAAUGGAUUGAACUUGCCGCGAAGAGGUCCCAAGAAAUAGCUCCAUCAUGAAGACCGUACCCGAAACCGACACAGGUAGAUUAAUAGAGUAUAUUUAGGCGCUUGAGAGAAUGAUGUUGAAGGAACUCGGCAAAAUGCUUCCGUAACUUCGGGAUAAGGAAGACCCUUUUGUAGGCAACUAUGGAAGGGUGGCACAAGCCAGGGAGAAGCGACUGUUUAUCAAAAACACAGGGCUCUGCUAACACGUAAGUGGAUGUAUAGGGUCUGACGCCUGCCCGGUGCUGGAAGGUUAAUGCGGUUGGUGCAAGCUAACUUCUGAAGCCCCAGUAAACGGCGGCCGUAACUAUAACGGUCCUAAGGUAGCGAAAUUCCUUGUCGGGUAAGUUCCGACCUGCAUGAAUGGCGUAACGAUUUCUCCGCUGUCUCCAACAUCAACUCAGUGAAAUUGAAUUCUCCGUGAAGAUGCGGAGUUCGCGUAGUUAGACGGAAAGACCCCGUGCACCUUUACUGCAACUUUACAUUGGUGUUAGGAAAAACAUAUUUAGCAUAGGAGGGAGACUUUGAAGCAAAGGCGUCAGCUUUUGUGGAGUCACCAGUGAAAUACCUCUUUUGUUUUUCUUGACAUCUAACCGCUAGCCGUCAUCCGGCAGCGAGACAUUGUAUGGUGGGUAGUUUGACUGGGGCGGUCGCCUCCCAAAUAGUAACGGAGGCGUGCGAAGGUAGGCUCAGAACGGUCAGAAAUCGUUCGUAGAGUGCAAUGGCAUAAGCCUGCCUGACUGUGAGACUGACAAGUCGAGCAGAGACGAAAGUCGGUCAUAGUGAUCCGGUG
rnacentral:rRNA from 1 species